UACGUAGGGUGCGAGCGUUAAUCGGAAUUACUGGGCGUAAAGUGUGUGCAGGCGGCCGAGCAAGUCGAGUGUGAAAGCCCCGGGCUUAACUUGGGAAUUGCGCUCGAAACUACUUGGCUGGAGUGUGGCAGAGGAAGGUGGAAUUCCAGGUGUAGCGGUGAAAUGCGUAGAGAUCUGGAGGAACACCGAUGGCGAAGGCAGCCUUCUGGGCCAACACUGACGCUCAUGCACGAAAGCGUGGGGAGCAAACAGG
rnacentral:rRNA from 1 species